AGAGCUUGCUCUUAUGAAGUUAGCGGCGGACGGGUGAGUAACACGUGGGUAACCUGCCCAUAAGACUGGGAUAACUCCGGGAAACCGGGGCUAAUACCGGAUAACAUUUUGAACCGCAUGGUUCGAAAUUGAAAGGCGGCUUCGGCUGUCACUUAUGGAUGGACCCGCGUCGCAUUAGCUAGUUGGUGAGGUAACGGCUCACCAAGGCAACGAUGCGUAGCCGACCUGAGAGGGUGAUCGGCCACACUGGGACUGAGACACGGCCCAGACUCCUACGGGAGGCAGCAGUAGGGAAUCUUCCGCAAUGGACGAAAGUCUGACGGAGCAACGCCGCGUGAGUGAUGAAGGCUUUCGGGUCGUAAAACUCUGUUGUUAGGGAAGAACAAGUGCUAGUUGAAUAAGCUGGCACCUUGACGGUACCUAACCAGAAAGCCACGGCUAACUACGUGCCAGCAGCCGCGGUAAUACGUAGGUGGCAAGCGUUAUCCGGAAUUAUUGGGCGUAAAGCGCGCGCAGGUGGUUUCUUAAGUCUGAUGUGAAAGCCCACGGCUCAACCGUGGAGGGUCAUUGGAAACUGGGAGACUUGAGUGCAGAAGAGGAAAGUGGAAUUCCAUGUGUAGCGGUGAAAUGCGUAGAGAUAUGGAGGAACACCAGUGGCGAAGGCGACUUUCUGGUCUGUAACUGACACUGAGGCGCGAAAGCGUGGGGAGCAAACAGGAUUAGA
rnacentral:rRNA from 1 species